rnacentral:rRNA from 1 species
SKUGAUCCUGGCUCAGGACGAACGCUGGCGGCGUGCCUAAUACAUGCAAGUCGAGCGGAUCUUCAUUAGCUUGCUUUUGAAGAUCAGCGGCGGACGGGUGAGUAACACGUGGGCAACCUGCCUGUAAGACUGGGAUAACUUCGGGAAACCGGAGCUAAUACCGGAUAAUCCUUUCCCUCACAUGAGGGAAAGCUGAAAGACGGUUUCGGCUGUCACUUACAGAUGGGCCCGCGGCGCAUUAGCUAGUUGGUGAGGUAACGGCUCACCAAGGCAACGAUGCGUAGCCGACCUGAGAGGGUGAUCGGCCACACUGGGACUGAGACACGGCCCAGACUCCUACGGGAGGCAGCAGUAGGGAAUCUUCCGCAAUGGACGAAAGUCUGACGGAGCAACGCCGCGUGAACGAUGAAGGCUUUCGGGUCGUAAAGUUCUGUUGUCAGGGAAGAACAAGUACCGGAGUAACUGCCGGUACCUUGACGGUACCUGACCAGAAAGCCACGGCUAACUACGUGCCAGCAGCCGCGGUAAUACGUAGGUGGCAAGCGUUGUCCGGAAUUAUUGGGCGUAAAGCGCGCGCAGGCGGUUCCUUAAGUCUGAUGUGAAAGCCCCCGGCUCAACCGGGGAGGGUCAUUGGAAACUGGGGAACUUGAGUGCAGAAGAGGAGAGCGGAAUUCCACGUGUAGCGGUGAAAUGCGUAGAGAUGUGGAGGAACACCAGUGGCGAAGGCGGCUCUCUGGUCUGUAACUGACGCUGAGGCGCGAAAGCGUGGGGAGCGAACAGGAUUAGAUACCCUGGUAGUCCACGCCGUAAACGAUGAGUGCUAAGUGUUAGAGGGUUUCCGCCCUUUAGUGCUGCAGCAAACGCAUUAAGCACUCCGCCUGGGGAGUACGGCCGCAAGGCUGAAACUCAAAGGAAUUGACGGGGGCCCGCUCAAU